CUUCGUGGGAUGGACGCUAUGGAUUUGUUGUCUGCACUGACAGUGCUGUCUAUGGCGAAGGACCUGCUAGGCCUACUGGAGGAGCUGCUGCUAUUGCCAUGCUUGUUGGUCCUGAUGCUCCCAUUGCAUUUGAAAGCAAAUUGAGGGCAAGCCACAUGUCUCAUGCUUAUGAUUUUUACAAGCCUAA